rnacentral:misc_RNA from 1 species
CUUGCUUUAUUGUGACCUUGGUGCUUGCGCUAUUGGGAGCAGUAAAGCAUUUGCUUCGAUGGGACCUUUGGUGCUCGCACUAAAUGGAUGCUUUGAAGCAUUAAACCAUGCGUACUCAAUGGGACCUACAGGUGUCUAUGCGUUUCCUCAUGGAAAUGGGAACCACUUGUAUGGAUGCUUUGAGUUCGUCGUCUGAAUGGGACCUAGACUUUGUCUAUGGAUGCUCUUGGACGGAAACCCACCUUUAUGUCAGCCCCUAUUUAAGGUUGGAAACGACCUUUGACUGGGUGUAGUGUUUGAGUAAUGCCGUGCAUUUAUGUGCGGGAUGAAAAAAUGCUACAGGUUCUGUUUGUCCCUUGUGGUCCUUACUAAAUUAGGUUCCUUGGGAUCAACAAACAGGAUUGCUUUUUUUCAACCAACCCAAAACUAAUUAUCUAAAGUAUCUGAGCAUCGGGUUUUACCUCGUGCUCAACCAAAUCAAGACAACUCUCAACAACGGAUAUCUUGGCUCUCGCAACGAUGAAGAACGCAGCGAACUGCGAUACGUAAUGUGAAUUGCAGAAUUCCGUGAAUCAUCGAAUUUUUGAACGCAUAUUGCACCCGCGGCCUCGGCCAAGGGUAUGUCUGCCUCAACGUCGAUGUAACCCUCACAUCACUAUUGAUUGAGUUCAAUAGAAUGUGGAUCUGGCCGUCUCGGAUUUUUAACUAAAGCCGGGUCGGUUUAAGUAAAGAGGCUUUGAUGUCGCAUCAUCACGGGACUUUGUUUUGUCAAAGUGAGUAUGCCUGUAAAAGGGUGGGGACCGCUUUGAUGGGAUGAAGGCCACUUCUAGGUAGGAGGGACCAUGUCUUUCAUUAUUGGAAGGCAUUGGAUGCUCAUACAUAGUUGAUGGUUUACCUUGUUGCUGAGGCGGUAAAUACUUCAUAGCCCUCAAACUUGGAACGGGAACGGUGAACAUGUUGGCAUUAGUUUGUCAAUGGGGGUUCACUUAGUACUUUACAUCAUCGACUGAGAUCAGGCA